rnacentral:lncRNA from 1 species
UUUGCUGUCUUUCUUCCCAGGUGUAGAUGACUGCCACUUGUCAAAUGGGAGACCUGGAAUAAGGAGAGUUUAGCUAAUAGCUCCACAGUAUUAUAUUUUCUGUUUCUCAUACAUGCAUCUACUUAUCCUUCUGUGACAGGACCUGCUGGACCUGAACUUAGCAUAGGUGAGGAGGAGCAAGAACACAUAGGACAGAUGGAGGAUGGCCACUUUCAAAACUUCUCCCUCUGCUCUGGACACUCUUGUCCUGUGAUAAGGAGGCACGUGAUGAAUGGGCUGAAGCCCAAAGAAGAACAUCUCUUAGCUUAAGUGCAUGAAAACCAGGUGCUCUGG